rnacentral:tRNA from 1 species
GCCAAUGUGGUGUAGUGGUUUGAGCACUGGACUACGACUCUGGAGACCGGGGUUUGAAUCCCCAUUUGACC